CGGGGCGUAGCGCAGCUCGGAUAGCGCACUGCGUUCGGGACGCAGGGGUCGGAGGUUCAAAUCCUCUCGCCCCGA
rnacentral:tRNA from 1 species